GACGUAAUAGUAAUUAACUAAAUAUUAACGUAUAUUAAAAAUUUUAAAUAAAGAAGAAGAAGAAAAGAAGAAUUCGCUUCUUCUUCUCCCUCGCUGGAACGAUCAUUCUCUGCCUCCGCCAUAAAAAGGCCAUAAAUUUCCUUCUGCUACCAUCAUUUUCUGCAGAUUGUAUCGAUCGUUCUAUCAUACACGUCAUGGUGAGAGGGUUGCUCAACAAGAUCGUCUCUCGAUCUCUUUCUGUGGCAGGCAAAUGGCAGCAGCAACAGCUCCGCCGUCUUAACGUCCAUGAGUAUCAGGGGGCUGAGUUGAUGAAAAAUAUGGGAUCAAUGUGCCUAAGGGUAUUGAUAUUUCUUCUGUUGAUGAAGCAAAAAACGCAGUUCAAAUUGGUUUUCCUGAUGCGAAAGAGUUGGUCGUUAAGAGUCAAAUUUUGGCUGGUGGAAGAGGUUUGGGAACAUUCAAAAGCGGCUUAAAGGUGGAGUACACAUAGUGAACGUGGAACAGGUUGAAGAGCUUGCUGGUAAGAUGCAUGGGCAGAUACUUGUCACUAAACAAACUGGUCCUCAGGGCAAAGUUGUCAGUAAGGUUUAUCUCUGUGUGAGAAGUUGUCACUUAUCAACGAAAUGUACUUAACUAUCACUCUGGAUCGUAAAACUGCCGGUCCAUGUUGGCAAGCAAGGAGCGAUGUUUUGAUGUCAUCCAUUUGUUUGUUGUUUGUUGUUUGGAAGGUACGUAUUGAUGUUUUCCAAGGAAUUACAGACGAAGACGCUGCGAAGGUGGUGAUAAUCAGCUGGUUGCUGCUGAUGCUAAGCUGAAGUUUGAUGAUAGAAAAAGCAGGAGGAUGCUGGAGAGGUGUGGUUUUUGUCAUUGUUUAUAGGAGAAUGCAUGAAAAUGCACAUGAAGGGCAGGUAAAUAUUUAACAAUAAUAAUAUAAUUUAGAAAAUAUUGAGUACCUUGUUUGCCGCAAAACGAAAGAAGCCAAAAUUUUAAUAAUAAUGAGUAGCUUUUUUUUGCUGAGAUGCACGAGUUUUAGUGGUUGAAUCUGUAACCUCCCAGAUUAUCUAAUAAUAUGUUAUUUCAAAAUUUGAUUUUCC